ACUCAGAAAUGGUGUACAGGAAAAUGACCUAUGAACUGACAGACAAUUUGCCUAAGUCUGUCUGUCAUUUCUGUAGGCCAAUAUUCUGUAUAUCUCUUCUACUUC
rnacentral:pre_miRNA from 10 species